rnacentral:tmRNA from 2 species
GGGGAUGAAAGGAUUUCGACGGGGGAUCCGAACACGGAUAAGCGAGUAGCGGGGCGGGACCGCUAUAAAAUCCGCAAUUCUUAAAAUUAAACGACAACAAUACAGUUGCUCUUGCUGCUUAACUAAGCAGCCGUCUCCUGCCGGAGUACUGCGGCCGGCAACGAGGCGUCGAUCAGCAGUGAACGUGAGCGGGUGACGGCCGAUGCCCCGCCAUGAAUUAUCAGCCUACCGAGCACCUGAGCCUGCCGACCGGCGCUUGUGCAAGGGAAUGUCAAAAGACCGGAUACACUCGUAGAAAGUCCCUGCAAGGGUUUUUCGGACGCGGUUUCGAUUACCGCCAUCUCCACCA